UACAGAGGUCUCAAGCGUUGUUCGGAUUCAUUGGGCGUAAAGGGCGCGUAGGCGGCGGGGUCAGUCGGGUGUGAAAUCUUGGGGCUUAACCCCGAAACGGCACUCGAAACUGCCCGGCUGGAGGGCCGGAGAGGAGAUCGGAAUUCACGGUGUAGCAGUGAAAUGCGUAGAGAUCGUGAGGAAGACCCGUGGCGAAGGCGGACCUCUGGACGGCUAACUGACGCUGAGGCGCGAAGGCCAGGGGAGCAAACGGG
rnacentral:rRNA from 1 species